GCCAUUUCUAGGGCUGCUCCUGCAGCAUAUGGAGGAUCCCAGGGUAGGGGUCCAAUCAGAGCUGUAGCCACCGGCCUACACCACAGCCACAGCAAUGCAGGAUCCAAUCUGCGUCUGCAACCUACACCACAGCUUACGGCAAUGCCCAAUCCUUAAGCCACAGAGCAAGGCCAGGAAUCGAACCUGCAACUUGGAGGUUCCUAGUUGGAUUCCUUAACCACUGAGCCACAAUGGGAACUCCUCUCACACACUUAUUCUAUACCAAACUUUCAAAGAGUUUUAGGUGUUGUUAACUCACAUCCUACAACAACAACACUGUAAGCACUGUUAUUAUCCCCUUUUUACCUGGGAGAAACAUGCACAGCGAGGUUCAGUAAUUGUCUAACAUCCUAUUGUUAGUAAAUGAUGAGGCCAGAAUUUGAAUCCAAGUGGCCUGAUUUCAAAGCCCUCACUUUUUUUUUUUUUUUUUGGCCACACCCACAGCAUGCGGACAUUCCAGGCCAGGACUGAACCUGCGCCACAGCAGUGACACAAGCCAGUACCAGAUCCUUAACCCACUGCACAAGAAAACUCCAAAGCCGUCACUCUUAACAACAACAGCAUUUGUAAAAAUUAUUCAGAGGAUUUCCUUUGCUCUUUAAACUUGGAAAUUGUUUUCAUAUCUUGACAUUACUUUUCUUUGAAGUCUAAUACAAUUCCUUGUUUAACAUCUGGGGCUGAUUCAUUUUAUUUAAUUCCAUUCCAUUGUAAGGAAAGAGAGAAAGACAGAGGCAAUGCUUGACAACUUUCUCAAUUACUUUCAUGACAAUGUUUUAUUUAGGUUUUCUAUUCCUUUCAUGUAUAUACCUUGAACAAAUUGUACAUUGCAAACAAAACUUUCCAGUGGACUAAAGAGGCUGAGAAAUUUCUAGGCAAUGUAAAUUAUAUGGCCUCUAACUGACAAAAAUAUAUAUACUUACACAUGUAAUCUAAUACACAUAUAUGUAGAGAUGCAGAUAAUAGAUAGAUUACACAGAGAGAUAUGGAUAAAGACAUGUGAAACUCAGCAGAUGUGGAAGAGGAAGUUUGUUUUUAAGUAAAUUUUCCCUACAAUACACUGAAAGAUCCUGAGGAUCAGAGACACCUGGAUCAAGGAACAGGCAUGCGCAUGACAUGCUCAGGGUAGGAAUUAAAGAGCUAUGGAACAACUGAACCAGUACAAGGGAUCCGAGAUAUGGCAUCUGAGUCUAGGAUAAAGCUACAAGAAAAAGUCUCUCACUGGAGAGAGUGAGAGAGCUAUAUGAAAAAUUCCAAAGGCAGCAUCAGGACUAAAACAGAAACAGAUCGACGCUCUUAAAUAACCUCCGCCCUUGGCAAUGGAUGGCAGUUCUCACACAGAGAACCUAAGUACCUGGGUAGCCAGGAGAGCACCUGAUGAGACACUUGCCUUCUCAUAAUUAGCCUCUGCAACUGCUAUCAGGAGAAGCAUAAUUUUCACAUUCACCGGGGAAAUUCAUUCCAUCCAUCAGUACCAGUCGAUCCAACUGAAAACCACUAAAACAGCUAAAGAGGCAGGGGAUGUGAGCAUUGUGGCGGCAUGAGAUACUCACUUUGUCUUUUCCCCUCAAUGUAUGGCCAGUAAAAUAUCUAUGACUCAACAAAGUUUCCUCUGCCCAACACAUUAGGGUGCCAAAGAGUUCCACACACCUGUACGUCUAAAGGUGGGUAGACUGGAACACAUAGAGAAGGCUGACCAGAUUAACCAUGGAGGUAGUGCCUGCAAUCUUGGACCCCCAGCUACAGCGACUAGCCCAUAGCCCCAGAAAACCCAAUAGCAGGAGGGACGCAGCACACAUGAAUCCAGCCUCCCAGGUAUGACACUGCCACAGCCCUGAAUAACUGGGCAGCAAUAUCAGCAAAGCCUGAGACCCUAUAUCUCCAGAAGCAGAGGUGUCCAUGACUCUUGCCCUGCCACCUACAGUGGUAGUGCCAACAAACCUGACAACCCCAAACAUGGCAGUGGCACCCACAACCCCAGGUUCCUCCUGCCUUUCCUUACUAUGACAGAGCCCAUGAGUGAACCGAAUCAAGACAGAACAGAGGUAACUCCAAUCCAGGUCUCCCAGGUGGCAACACCAGUGACAACACCAACACUGGUAGCAGAAAAUCAUCAGCUACCCUAGAGACACAAACAACAACAACGAGGACACAGGGCAAAACCUAUACAAGGUGGAAGGUGGAAAGUGCAGAUGCUCAUAUAUAACCAGAGGUAGUUCAAUUAAGAGAAACCAGAGAUAUCUGCAGAGUUCCCUUCGUGGAUCAGCAGUUAACGAACCCAACUAAGAUCCAUGGGGACACAGGUUCAAUCCCUGGCCUUGCUCAGUGGGAUAAGGAUUCAGUGUUGCUGUGAGCUGUGAUGUAGGUCACAGACGUGGCUCAGAUCCCAUGUUGCUGUGGCUGUGGCGUAAGCUGGCAGCUGCAGCUCCAGUUCAACCCUAGUGUGGGAACCUCCAUAUGCCACAGGUGUGGCCCUAAAGAGACAAAAAGACCAAAAAAAAAAAAAAAGAGAGAGAAAGAGAGAGAAACCAGAAACAUUUUCAAUAGUGAAACCUGAUGAACAGCAAAAGGAAAGGCUCUAAUUACUAAACUGUCAAAUUAUUAGCAUCAAGUGAAAAAAGGUCUACAUAAAGAAGAAAGGUAUUCACUACUUCAAAUGCACCGGCAAAGAAACAACUCAUCAAGCACCAUGAAAAACCGUGGUCACAGUGUCACAAAAAGAACAUGAACAUUCUCCAGAAACCAAACAUAAAUACUCAAAUUAAGGUCAUCUAACUGACAAAGAACUCAAAAUAACUCUCAUAAUGAGACUUAAUGAGCUACAAGAAAACUCAGAAAGACAGUUCAAUGAGUUCAGGAAUAAAAUUAAUUAACAGAAGAAAUAAUUGAUCGAAGAGAUUAAACUCUGCAAAACAACAAAGCAGAAAUCCUGAUACUAAAGAAGUCAAUAAAUGAGACGAAGAACACAGAAACACUAGAAAUAUAGAGUAGACAAUACUGAAGAGAAAAUUAGCAAGCUCAAAGAUACAAAUCCAGAAAUUACACAGGUAGAAAAGGAAAGAGAACUAAAAUUUGAAAAAUAGAGAAAUUAUAUGAGAACUCUCUAACUCUACUAGGAAAGGCAGCACAAGGAUAGUGUUAUCCCACAGGAAAAGAGAGGGAAAAGGGAUCAGAGACUGUAUUUAAAGAAAUAUAACCAAGACGUUCUCAAAUCUGAGGAAGGAACUGGAUGUGUGUGUCCAUGAAGCUAAGAGAACACCUGAUUAUUUCAAUGUAAAUAAAAUAUACCUUCUACUACAAGGUAUAUCAUAAUAAAACUGUCAAAAGUCAAUGACAAAGAAAAUUUUUAAAGCAGCAUGGCAAUAAAGAACUGAUAUAGAACAACCAGAAAACAAAGUCCUAAGUAGGACUUAGUCCUAAGGCAGUACUUUAAUAAUCACUCUAAGUAUAAAUGGACUAACUCAUCAAUCAAAAGACACAGAGCAGCCCAAUGAUUUAAAAACCAGGACCCAACUAUAAUGACUCUAGAAGACUCAACCCCUGGAGUACCUGGCUUUGAAGUUCAGUUGGGCUUGAUUGCAGGAGACCCAAAGGACUAGGGACAACAGAGACGCCACUCUUCGAGGGCACACAAGUUCUCACAUGCACUGGGCCCAGGGCAAAGCAGUGACUCCACAGGAGCCUGGGCAGACCUAUCUGCUGGUCUUAGAGGUCUCCUGGAGAGGCAAGGAUCAGAUGUGGCUCACUGUGUGGACAAGGACACGAUGGUGGAGGCCCCAGGGAAUAUUCGUCAGUGUGAGCUCUCCCAGAGGUCACCAUUUUGGCACUAAGACAUGGCCCCACCCAGGAGCCUGAAGGCUCCAGUGCUGGGAGGCCUCAGGCCAAACAAUCAACAGGAUGGGCACACAGCCCCACCCAUCAGCAGACAGGCUGCCUCAAGUCCUCCUGAGCCCACAACCAUUUCUAAAACAUACCCCUUGAUAUGACACUGCCCACCAGAGGAAAAAGACCCAGUUCUACCCAUCAAUGGGCAGGCACCAGUCCCUCCACCAUGAAGACUGCACAAGCCCUUGGACCAACCUCACCAACCAGGAGACAGACACCAGAAGCAAGAGUAACCACAGUGCUAAAGCCUGCAGGUCAGAGACCACAAACACAGAAAAUAAACAACAUGAGAGAGCAGAGAAAUACGGUCCAGACAAAGGAGCAAGAAAAACUCCAGAAGACUAAGUGAAGUAAAGAAUUCAGAGUAGUAAUAGCAAAGAUGACCCAAGACCUCGGAGAUGAACAACACAAUAACCGAAAUGAAGAAGACACUCGAAGGAAGCAACAGCAGAAUACAUGAAGCAGAAAAUGAAUAAGUGAACUGGAACACAUACUGGUAGAAAUCACUACUGCAGAACAGAAUACGUAAAAAAGAAUAAAAAGAAAUGAGCAUAGCCUAAGAGACCCUUGGGACAAUAUUAAUGCAACAACAUGCACAAUACAGGGGUGCCAAAAGAGGAGAGAGAGAAAGGGCUGUAGAAAAUACCUGAAGAGAUAACAGCCAAAAACUUCCCUAACAUGGGAAAGGAAAUACCCAUACACAUUCAGGAAGUGCAGAGUCCCAUACUGGACAAACUCAAGGAAGAACGUGCUGAGACACAUAUUAAUCAAACUGACAAAAAUUAAAGACAAAGAGCAAAUAGGAAGAGCAACAGGGAAAAGCAACAAAUAACAUACAAGG
rnacentral:lncRNA from 1 species